ensembl:lncRNA
AAUACAAGAAUCAUUACCUGUUACUUGAUUGUAUAUUUUACCCAGCAUUGCUUUCUGGUAAGUAAGUCUUGGACAAGUAAGGCUUGUUCCCAUGUCAGAACAGCCUAUACAGCAGGAGCCUACCGCCUGUUUCUGUAGCAUGAGACAGCUGGAUGUACAAGUACACCAUCUAAACAGGAUGCUUGCUUUCUGGUGCUUACCUACAAAUCCCCCCUGUGACCGUCUGAAUGUGGACGUUCAAUAUUGAAUGUGCCCUGAUCAGCAGGCCUCUUCCCCCCAUGUGGAUGAGACCGGGCUGAAGAGAGAGCAGAGAGGGGCAGUGCCUGGGUGGAUGUAAGGACUCACAUGAGAGGAUCAUGUCCAGACAAGACCAAGAGGAAAAACUCACUAUUACAGACUGGUACAGUAUGUGUGUGACUCUCCAGCAGCAGGAGCUGAGGCUGUCUGAGGGCUCUUACAGGCCUCCAGGCCAAGCCCAGUCCUUCCUGGCCCAGCAGAGGCAGUCCACCCAGGCCAGGAGCAGGAGAGGCAUGGGGCUCUCUCCCAAGCUACAGCCCAGAUAGGAGGGGAGAUGGAGGGAGAGGUCCCUCUGUUGAGGGUGGUGGGAUUGACACUGGAUGGACAAGGAACGUUGGAAGAGGAUGUUGAUGGGAUUUUUGUGGCUGUUUAAAAAAAUCUUGGAUGUUAAAAAACAUAUUUUAUGUAACAUUGGCGCCACCUGCUGGUCAAAUGGUAUUGGUGUUCGUUUUUUGUCCAUCUCAGUUUGAAUCUAAAAGUUAAAGGAAUAGAUAGGACAAUAAAGGAACAUCACUAUUACAAUGUGUUGCCAAUGGAUUUUUGCGCUUGAAUAAAAUAUCAACAUGA